rnacentral:lncRNA from 1 species
CGGGCCCGCGCCCCGGGCCGAGGCCUAGGCCGGCUCCGAUCCCGGGGCGGCCCUCGGGGGAGCGCGGGGAUGGGCGGAGGGACGGGCCUCGGCGCGGGCUGCAGCGGGGCGCCGCCGUGGGGCGGGACGGCCCCUGGCCUCCGGAGCCCGGCGGCUGCCUUCCUCGAAGCGCGCCGGAGGAGCGGCACGCGGUCUACCCUCGGCCCCAAAACCGGGGAGCUGACACGGAGGCACCGGCCUCGCAGAAGGGCGACGGGGAGACGCGCGACAGCGCAGGCACGAAAGCCACUGCGGGAGAGACGGCCGAGGGUCCCUGCUAACGGCCCGGCGUACCGGACGAGGGACCGAAGAUUCAGGAUGAUUUUGCACACUAUUUCCUAUGACUUACAAUUUUUAGGUAAGUAGAGCAUUUCUCACUGGGGUAUUCUGAUAUGGAUUUUUAAAGGUAUUCUACCUGUGCAAAUUUUUAGUGAUGCA